UUCGGGAAACCGGAGCUAAUACCGGAUAAUAUUUUGAACCGCAUGGUUCAAAAGUGAAAGACGGUCUUGCUGUCACUUAUAGAUGGAUCCGCGCUGCAUUAGCUAGUUGGUAAGGUAACGGCUUACCAAGGCAACGAUGCAUAGCCGACCUGAGAGGGUGAUCGGCCACACUGGAACUGAGACACGGUCCAGACUCCUACGGGAGGCAGCAGUAGGGAAUCUUCCGCAAUGGGCGAAAGCCUGACGGAGCAACGCCGCGUGAGUGAUGAAGGUCUUCGGAUCGUAAAACUCUGUUAUUAGGGAAGAACAUAUGUGUAAGUAACUGUGCACAUCUUGACGGUACCUAAUCAGAAAGCCACGGCUAACUACGUGCCAGCAGCCGCGGUAAUACGUAGGUGGCAAGCGUUAUCCGGAAUUA
rnacentral:rRNA from 1 species